GCUUUCAUAGUUCAGUUGGUUAGAGUACCUGUUUAGUAAGUGGGAGGUCUUUGAGUUCAAAUCUUAAUGAAAACA
rnacentral:tRNA from 1 species